rnacentral:rRNA from 1 species
UACGUAGGGCGCAAGCGUUGUCCGGAAUUAUUGGGCGUAAAGAGCUCGUAGGGGGUUUGUCGCGUCUGUUGUGAAGGCCCGGGGCUUAACUCCGGGUUUGCAGUGGAUACGGGCAGGCUAGAGGCAGGUAGGGGAGAACGGAAUUCCCGGUGUAGCGGUGAAAUGCGCAGAUAUCGGGAGGAACACCGGUGGCGAAGGCGGCAUCCUGGACCGACACUGACGCUGAGGAGCGAAAGCCAGGGGAGCAAACGGG